rnacentral:tRNA from 1 species
GCCGCGUUCGUCUAGUGGUCCAGGAUACCUGGUUCUCAUCCAGGAGAUCACGGGUUCGAAUCCCGUACGCGGUACCA